AUUGAACGCUGGCGGCAUGCUUUACACAUGCAAGUCGAACGGCAGCGCGGGCUUCGGCCUGGCGGCGAGUGGCGAACGGGUGAGUAAUGCAUCGGAACGUGCCCAGUAGUGGGGGAUAGCCCGGCGAAAGCCGGAUUAAUACCGCAUACGACCUGAGGGUGAAAGCGGGGGACCGAAAGGCCUCGCGCUAUUGGAGCGGCCGAUGUCGGAUUAGCUAGUUGGUGGGGUAAAGGCUUACCAAGGCGACGAUCCGUAGCUGGUCUGAGAGGACGACCAGCCACCAUGGGACUUGGGCACGGCCCAGACUCCUUAGGGAGGCCGCAGUGGGGAAUUUUGGACAAUGGGGGCAACCCUGAUCCAGCCAUGCCGCGUGCGGGAAGAAGGCCUUCGGGUUGUAAACCGCUUUUGUUCGGGAAGAAAUCCUCUGGGCUAAUACCCCGGGGGGAUGACGGUACCGGAAGAAUAAGCACCGGCUAACUACGUG
rnacentral:rRNA from 1 species